rfam:Myotis brandtii contig158326, whole genome shotgun sequence.
GGUGGUUCUUGGGUGAUGCACCCCAGAACUAGAGAGGAGGAAGGCUUAUUCUGGGGUGCAUCACCUGAGAAUUGCC